rnacentral:snRNA from 1 species
AGCUGUGCGCAGUGGCAGUAACACAGCCAAUGAGGUUUAUCCAAGGGGUGAGUACUGCUCACUGAUCUAGUUCGUAAUAUUUGCUGGUAAUCACUAUGUAAAUUUUGUUCUAGUCUAUUAG